UACGAGUGGUCCAAGCGUUAUCCGGAAUCAUUGGGCGUAAAGUGUUCGUAGGCUGAUUUAUUAGUCGGGUGUUUAACCCAAAGGCUCAACCUUUGGAUCGCACUCGAAACGGUAAAUCUUGAAUUUGUAAGAGGCAUGUAGAACUCAUAGUGUAGGGGUGAAAUCCGUUGAUAUUAUGGGGAAUACCAAAAGCGAAGGCAGCAUGCUAGUACAGUAUUGACGCUGAAGAACGAAAGCGUGGGUAGCGAAUGGG
rnacentral:rRNA from 1 species